GGGGUGAUCACCUUGAUACCUAAGACUAGUGGUGCUAAGAAAAUACAACAGUACCGUCCCAUCUGCUUACUUAGAUGUCCAUACAAGCUGAUUACUAAAGUGAUGGAUAAUAGAGUAUCCAUCUUUGCUGGUAAGCUUAUUAGCAGACACCAAAAUGCUUUCAUUAAACAUAGAAAUAUCAUGGAUGGGAUCCUCACUCUCCAUGAGUUCUUACACCACACACACCAUAAAAAGAAAGUUGGGGUGGUCCUGAAGUUGGACUUUGAAAAAGCAUACGGCAAAAUUAAUUGGGAUUUUCUCCUUGAAUGUCAUAGUAAUAGAGGCUUUGGUGAAACCUGGUGUGGUUGGGUGAAGAAGAUACUGACUAAUGGCACAGUCAGCAUUAAGUUGAAUAAUGUGACUGGCCUUACUUCCAAAGCCACAAGGGGGUGCGCCAGGGCGACCCUCACUCCCCUUUUUUGUUUAGCCUUGCGGUGGAAACCUUGUCUAAGAUGAUUCGUAAUGCUCAAAAGGAAAAAAUGAUAACUGGGUUGGCCCCAGAUCUCAUUGAAAAUGGCGUUGUUGUUCUGCAAUACACCGAUGAUACGGUUAUUUGUUUUGAACAUGAUGAAGAAGCCGCUGUCAACCUGAAAAUUCUCUUAUACAUUUUGAGCUUAUGGCUGGCUUAAAGAUUAACUUCCUUAAGAGUGAAAUCAUGUGCGUGGGUGGAGAAAACAACAUCCUGGAAACUUAUGCGGACAUCUUUAACUGUCAAACUGGUCACUUCCCAAUGAAAUACUUGGGGGUUCCUGUGAGCUACUCAACUUUGCGCAACCUGGACUGGAACUUUGUUGAUGAUAAAUUCCUUAAAUGUUGUGAAACUUGGAUUGGUAAUGCUGCUUCAUCGGGGGGGAGGCUCAUUCUCCUGAACUCCUCUCUGUCCAGUAUUGUUUACUACUACAUGGCAAUGUUCCUACUUCCUAAGAUGGUGAUCUACAAAUUGGACAGACAUCGUAAAAAAUUCUUCUGGCAAGAAACCAACGGCAGGAAACGGUAUCACCUUGUCAAAUGGACCAGGAUUUGUAGGUCUAAGAAAAAAGGGGGUUUUGGGGUGAAAGAUCUCCAUAGACACAAUAUAAGCUUAUUAGCUAAAUGGUGGUGGAAACUUGAGACUCAACAAGGGCUUUGGCAGGAUGUUAUCCGGGCCAAGUACUUGAAGAGAGACUCUGUUGCCUCGGUUCGAUGUAGAUUUGGUGACUCGCCGAGCUGGAAAGCUAUUAUGAAAGUUAAAGAACAUUAUUUCGCUGGGAAGGGGUGAAUAUAAAAGCUGGCAACCUGGCUCGGUUGUGGAUGGACAACAUUGAGGGAAACCCCCCUUUGCGAGACAAGUUUCCAGAACUGUAUGACAUUUGUAACAACCAAGAGAUUACUAUGGCCAAGGUCAGGGGCGAGGGGACCCCAGAUCUCUUUAGAAGACGAUUACAUCCUCGGCUUGCAAAAAAAUGGGAAGAGGUGAAAAAAUGGUGAAUUCCUGGGUGGUCUCUGAUGAACCAGACCAGGUUGUGUGGAAUCUUGGAAAGAACAAGCGCUUUACUACCAAAUCCAUGUAUAAUCACCUGGAAAGCCGCCUCGCUGGGUGUGAUUAUAGGUGGAUUUGGAAACCUAAACUGCCUCUCAAGAUUCAAAUUUUCCUCUGGCAAUUGUUUCAAGAUGCGGUGUUGACACGAGAUGUCAUGAAAAGACGCAAAUGGGCUGGUAACCCGAAGUGUUCCUUCUGUCAGAAUAGAGAAACUUUUCAGCAUCUCUUCUUCACCUGCCCAGUUGCAAGGGUGGUUUGGAGAACGGUUGGCUGUGUGUUUGGCACAGAUUUGUGCCCUGAUAACCUAUGGCAAUAUUUCUCUUGGUGCUAUACUUUCUUACCUGAUGGUGCUAGAUUCUAUACAUUUGGCCUGGCUGCGAUCUGUUGGGCCAUGUGGAUAUAUCGUAACAGAGCCACUUUCGAAUGCAAAAAAUUGAGCACUCCUUUUGACGUGGUCUUCUCUGCAUGUGCAUACAUGAACUACUGGGUAGGUCUGAUGGUGGGAGUUAAUCGAGAGGCGAUGGAGCGCGGCGCUAAGAUGCUCAAGACCAACGCAGCUGCCAUGAUGAGGAUUUGUGCAGCCCCAGCUGGGUCAGCAAUGGACUGAAGGAUGCAGCCGUCGACUCUGCCUUCACCUGCCUUUUCCCUCCUCCCCCUGUGGCUAUUUUUGUCCUGAUACUUGUUGCUUUUGGUACUUUCGCCCCUGCGUGGGCUUUGCCUGAUGCUCAAAUGUGAGCCGUUCCCCUUAAAUGUGGAGACUACCUCUGAUUCCUCGUUUUUACUCUGGUUAGGAUAGGUGGUUUUAGAUGGCAUUGGGUUUUCGCCCCAUGGUGAGCUGCUCGAUGACGAGUGCUUGCAGUGGGUUUCCCAGUGGUGUCUUGAACUCACUUUCCCCUUUCCAGUUUCCUUAAUACCUGGACUCGGUAUUUCCAUUAUGUCAUAGUAAUGGAAAGGGGUAAUGCCGGGUUCAAGAAAAAGAGAGAAGCUUCUCGGUGGAUUCCAUGUACCUUGCUUCCUCACUCCAAUGCUGUCGAGCCACAAAAAAGAAAUUUUAGCCUCGAAAUUAAUAUACUUUAGGCUCGAUGUAAUGGGAAGUACUAUGAUAUUACAUUCGUAGUGCAUAGUUCAUGCAUAUGCUACUACAUCCGUACUGCAUAGUAUUAUAUGCUAGUAACAUAGGAUAGUUCAUUUUUUGCCAUGCAUAACAAAUGUAGCGCAUCAUUUAAUAUGAUGCGGUAUCAUGAUAUGAUAGUUAAUCCUUUUUUUCUUCAGUUAAUUUGAUGCCACCUCAUUAAUACAAUACUAUCUAGUUGGCAUGCAUGAUCGUACUACCUACUGCCAUUACAGAAAGCCUUAUACCUUGGCAAAGUGGUGAGAUCCUAUAACUAACCUACGAACAACCUCGCAAGUCGUAGCUGCCCUGGAAGUUAAAAUAUACUACAGUUUCUUUCACAAAGACGAUACAAUCAAACACAUUCAUUAGAUGAAAGUUCCUGCGUACUACAUGGCCAGUCAUCCGGGUGACUUCCAACUUUUACUUGCAUCGUAGAGUUGCAAACAUGUUUGGUAGUUGGUUGUGGAACAUUGAUCGCAAGUUUGGAAUCGUUAUCUGGGUAGGAGUGGCAUCCUUAGUUUGGUUGCUUUGGCUAUGUUAGAAUGAUACGAUUUUUAAUAAGUAAAAAAGAACUCUCCAGGUGUUACUUAUUCCGUGUAUACAUUGGCUCCACUCAUGGUUUAUUAAGCGAGUUAGAAUGACCCAUUGGGGCUAUUGGCUCUUGUCCCAUUAUCAUAAGGGUGAGUUCCACCGAAGCCGUCACCGGAAUAAAAGCUUCACGGUGGAUUCCAUGUACCAUGCUUCCCCGCUUGAAUCACAAAAAUAAAUAUGUGCCUUAAAAUUAAAAUAUUUCUGUGGUAGCUCGGCAAAGAGGUGAUAUCCUAACUAAGAACAACCUCGCAGGUCACAACAGCCUUGAAAGUUGAAAAGCAAUGUUUCUUUCAGAAAGACGAAUAAUCGAACACAUUUUAUCAAUGCAAGUUUGUGCGUAAUGUACAACAUGCUCAACAGGUGACUUCUAAUUUGUACCUGAAUCAACUUCCCGAUGCAAGCACAAGCAUGACUGCAUAUACGUGGCAGUUCUGCCUCAUCGGCUCAUGGCAAAGGAUGUGUCGCAUCCUUCCCCGUAAAAAAUGGAUCCGCCAUAUCUUAAGAGUUUUUCUGUAAGUUCUCCCUCUGUUCACAAAUAUAAGACUUCUAACAUAUUUUUAAAUCAGGACACUUAAAAAAUCUGCCGCAGAUUUGCAUUUCUUAGGGCAUUUCUAACCGAUCCCUAAUAAAUAGUGAAGUAUCCGGUGGAGUAAAUCCUUAGUGAAGUAAAUUUACUCCACUAUGUUUUGGCCGGACAUAGCUGAUCCCCUAUAUAUAACGGAGUAAAAAAAUAAUUUUCAUUUGCAUUUCAUUUUCGACCGCCGAAACACAUUUCUUUACUUCUUUAUUUCAUUCAACGACAUUGUAAUACAUAAUAAUUCACCAAUUCUUCGCUAUGAGAGUAAGAUCAAAGAAAACAAGAACCACAAUUAGUCAUUUCAAAAGACAUCCAAUUCCCCUAACUGCUCUCACUAGUUGGAUUAAUAUCUUCUCUAUGUCUUCAUUGCUGAGAUCUGCGGCUUCUUGAGCUUCAACACUUCUUUCUUCUUCGAUUCUAAAGAAGUAGAUGUUGCUUCACAUCUAAUCUCAUCUCUUGCCUAUAUUCUAGUAACGAGUGCACGGACAUCUAUUAAUUUUCGUGCUAUCAAUAGAUAGAUGUAUUCUUCUCCCCAAUACUAAAACUUGCAUCCAUCCUAUACAUAGAGAUGAGCAAACAAUGAGCUACCGAAAUUCCGUCGAAUCACGUGAACAACCGAAUCAAAACAAGCACAUACCCCAUAAUUUGUGCACUUGAGGAACAAUCAUCUGGGAUGUUACGGCAUGGUAGAAACUAGGCACACCACCUGCCGCGUGCAGUCGCUCCACUGUAUGACCGGCAAUAGCGAGCGGGCGAGCCGUUGGUCCAGCCUCCGUGUCUGAGCGACGGCCGGGCGUGUAUUUGCCGGUGGACCGCCGACGGGAGAGAUUCGAGUUGCUAGAGAUGCAUACGCUACCUGCAUGCACCGAGGAGGUGUUGCCAGGGCUAUGUGGUCUGCUUCCUGGCCAAUCCAUGGCAAGGCGCAAUCGCCAAUGGCCGGAAAUGCCAAAUCUGGUGGCGGUGGCUGCAGCCGCAGAUCCACCUGUUUUUCACCGGUGACGGGACGAGGCAACAUAAAUCCAAGUGGUAGCAGAUAGUAGCGGAGGCUAUGGAGCGUCCAGUGGCGGGCGGGUGCCUCCAGGGGCGGGGUGGGAGGGGCGGCGCUUGCGCAAAUGCGGUGCGGCAGUGGAGGGGGAUGCAGUGGAGGAAAGCCAUAGCUUUUACUCAACGCCGAGCGGUGGAGUAUAUUUAGGUAGAAAGAUGGGGUCGGAGUAAAAAAUUUACUCUCUUGUGGCAGAUUGGGGAACGGCUAGGUGCCAGUAAGAGUAAAACUGAAUUUUUACUCCUGUAGUCGGUUAUAAGGGAUCGGUUAGAAAUGCCCUUACAACCCACACAAUCUUCGGUUCUCGGUGUGGAAGCAAUGUAUAUGGUUACAUUUUUUUGGCGGGAAAAAUGAGUUUAUAUUGUUUAACCAUUGGAGUAGUCUUUAGUACAUAGGCUAGGAACAACCCGCACAAUCUUCGGUUCCCGGCCCUGAAGCAAGCCACACCGCGGUGCGCUCCUCUACUUUGUCAACAUUAGCCAAGUGGUUCGCUCCAUUGGGUUCACGAGCUACGUGAAAUUGCAAGAAGAACUCCCUUCCAUCUUUCAUCAAUCUUCUAGCCUCAUCAACAAGCAUGAAAUACUUGUGUUGUCCCCACCUGUCGGUGUGACCAUGUUAUACGCGACAAGGCAGUCCGUUUUCACUUCAACAGGACACUGUGUCCAUCGGCGUACCAAGGAGAUGCCCUCCAUUCAUGCAUACAGCUCGGCCUCCAGAGGUUCUGUGCAGGAUUAAAGCACACGACAAGACGAGAGGAUAAUCUCUGCAUUGUCAUCACGAAUGAUCAUCCAAUCACCAGCGAUGCUCGAACGCUCGCAAAAAGAGCCGUCGACGUUCAGCUUCAGCCACCCCUCAUGUGGUGGCGUCCAGUUUUCCGAUAGCUUAGGCAUGUCACCAGCAUGCGAUAACGGCCGAGCUCUUGGUGCAUCCUGCACCACUUGCUUCUCCGUCACUAGACCACCUUGCGGGUUGCAUUGGAUGCCGAUCAGAGACUCCGCAUAGCUCAAGGGGCUAGCGUCGGGAUGAGUCCAUGGGUGGCGCCGGCUUAUCGUGCGUCAACUUGUUCCUAAGAGCAUCUCCAACAGCCGCACAAAGCAUUUUUAGUGUGCCGGGACCAACAUCGCUUUUGCAGACGUCCAAAAACACGCGCACAAAAAACACACAGUGCAAAUUGUGAAGCGCGCGCAAUCCGGAGUCCAAAAUAUGCUGCGCGCGAUAGCGUUUUUCAGCGCGCGCCUAAAAACUUUUGGCGCUACAGCAUCUGCUGGAGCUGUGCGGCACCCAAAAAAACAAAAUUUCAGUGCGCGGAGCUCUUUUUGGGCGCCUGUUGAAGAUGCUCUAACAUGCCAGUAGUGCCACAAUGUUAUCAUGAGCUUCAUACGAUCAACCACCGGCAAGUCACACAUGUGUUGCAGUAGCCACUCCGCUUCGAUCUGCUGGAUGCUCAAAACAUCAGGUAGGCUUGGGACGGCGUCUCCUCCCUUUGUCCUUCCUCUAAGAAAAGACGGCUAGGGUUUCUGCCUCCCGUCAGCAGCACCGUCGAUCUCCCACAUCUCCUAUGGCUUUAGGGUGAUGGGUGCGCAUUGGAUCCCGGUCCUUGCCGACGGGAGGGCUCCGUUUUCAGAAGCUUCUUCAAGUUUUGUUAGGGUUUGUGUCCUGCUCAAGAAGACGAGACGUUGGUAGCUUCUUGAAGAUGGAAUAAGGUUCUCCCCGCCUAACACCCGUCCCAAUGGUGUGUCUAGCAUCGUCGGAGGGCGUGUGGAGGCGUGUCUCUGGCGGAUCUCGCGAGAUUUGGUCGGUGUUUGUCUUUGGUGGAUCCGCUCGGAUCCGGUCUUUGUUCGUCUUUGUUCAUGUGUCUUCAGGUUGGAUCGUUCCGAUGUAAAAUUCUCUUCAUCGGUGGCGGUUGCUAUUCUGGGGCGUUGGUCCUAUGGGACCUUAGCAUGACGACUUUCCGACUGUCUACUACUACAAGUUGUUCCCGGCUCCGGCGAGGAAGGGGCGAUGACGGCGGCGCGCCUUUGGCUCGCUUCAGUGCUUGUAGUUAUUGCUAGGUGGUCUAUGAAUCUGAAUGUAAUUUUUAUUAUUUCUGGUGUUCGUUGUACUACCAUGAUUGAAGAUGAAUAGAUCGACCGUUUUUUGCAAAAAAAAAAGGUACGCUCCAAUGUUCCGCCAUUGCAUGCCAAUGCACCGCCGCCAAUAGGCAUCUGCAAAAGGCAUGAAAAGUGUCCUCCAGCUCCAUUGCAAAGAGGGGGCAUGCGUCAGAAAUCUCAAGACCACGGUGUUUUUUUAUUAACCACGUAGGUAAACAGUCGGUUAUUAAGAGCCAGAUGAACAUGCAAACCUUAGGAGGAGCAGGGCACCUCUAAAUAAAAGCCCAGACCUCGUCGUCGCGUCCAGUGCCCUACUCAUUCCAACUGAAGAAGGUCAAAGAUGAUCUUCCAGCGCCAGUCCGUAAGUGCUCCACAAAGAGAAGACACUGCUUCGCUCCAGGGCCCAAGCGAGGUGAUCAUCACCCAUUCGUGGCGAUGUGUGAAUUUUCAAUAUCUCCUAUACAUCUACUAGAAUAAAGAUGUCACGAAGUACAUCCACAUGCCAAGCACCAUGAGUGUCAGCAGCUCGGACACCCUUUGAAUUCGACUUCUGCCUUGUUGUAUGACCGAUUUCUCUCCUCCAUUCCAAGAUAUCCAACUGUCGUGCCAAACAUGAAUAGAAUUUCCAUUUCCCACGCCCAUAUUAAGCCCUACUUCAGGAGUUCAAGGCCAUGUUGAAUGGCUUGCCUAGUAGCAGAUGCCCCUUGAGAGAAAACUUUAUCUUCUAAGUUGCACAUCAAAUAGUGUCGUGCCUUUAGUACUCUAGCGACUAGACUCUUCGGCUUGGUUAAUAGCCUCCAUGCCGAGCGGGCCAAUAAAGCCUGAUUCAACAUGCGGAAGCCCCUCAAUCUCAAACCCCCUUCUGAUUUUGGUUUGAUCAGUUGCGGCCAGCCCCUCCAAUGCAUUUUCUUCUUUUCAUUCUCCACGCCCCUGAAGCCGUAUCAUACGCAUUAGGUCAUCACAUGUGGACAUUGCGAUUGUGCAACCGUCUUAUGGAAGACUUCGCGACCGCUCUGGGCAAGGAAAGAUAUAUUCCAUGACACCAUUCACUUGGUAAGCUUGCUACAGAUUGGUGAACCGGUCCUUUGACAUGCCCCAUUGGGGGUUGGUUAAUCGACAUACUUUUCUUGAAAAUUAUGGCUGUGCACCUCUAGUACUGGGACUAUGGUUUCUUUAUCGGGCGGGCUGCAAUGCUCACCAAAAAAGAUUGAGCAUUUCUGCGGAUUCACCACUUGCCCGGUACCGACUGCAUACCUUGAGAAAUCCCCUUUAAUGUUUAUGUCCUCCUCCUCCUUUGUAGCCCCCAAAAUAAUAGGGUGUCAUCCGCAACUAAAAAAUGUGAUACACAGCAUGCGGACACACCUGCAACGUCACAUCCUUCCCUCGUGAACUUUCUGCUUCAGUAUAAUAGCAAGCCCAUCAGCAGCAAAAAGGAAUUGAGAGGGUGAUAGAGGGUCUCCCUACCACUGCCUGCAGAACGGUGAAAAUGAAUCCAAGAGGGCUCCAUUCAGAUUAACACAGUAAUGAACCAAGGUGACACAUGAAGCUCCGUCGUUGCUCAUUGGCAAUGGAUGUUUGUCACUAAAGCGGUCGGCCCUAAUCCCAAACUGACUCCUCUAUAUAUGAGGAGUGUCUAUAAAAUAUGAGUAUCUAUGUCUACCCAUCUUAUAUUGUUGCUAGUAUUUCAAUGGGGCUUUUCCUCUAUAAAGGUAGCACACACAUACACGUAUGAAUCUCCUAGGCGUCUUGUUCUCCUGAUCGAGCACUGCUUCAACGACGACUACUCUGAUAACAUCGUCGAGCGGUAGAGAGGAUGAACAGGGAAUAUGACGAGCCAUCGGUAGGUGGUUGGCGGCCGGAUCCUUAACACUUUGGCAUCGACUUCUCCUCCAUGGGCGUUGGUCCCACCGACUCAUAGCCUUGAUGAUUUCCCGGUCGCAAGCAACAAAGUGGGGCCGGCUUCGGUAGUGGAUUGGCGGCGGUGGCAGGCUGGCAGCGCGCCAUCAGCUCUUUGUAGGUGCGGAGGAUCGACACUUUCUAGGGACACAACGAUCACAACCCACCCCCGGUCAAGGACCAGGAUGCAAUUUCUUGUUUUCUUUGGUGUGCUUUGCGAUGCUGGAGUUUGCUUUACUUUCGCAAAUAAUUCAAAGUAUCACGCAACUUGGCAAGCACGGUACCAAAGGAAUAGUUCCUCCCGUUUCCAGUAGAAAAUAGAAAGAAGUGUCCCGUACCGUAUAUAUAAAAGCUUCCUGACUUUUCACCUGCUGUAAUCGAACUACCGUCCGAGCUUUUUCGCCCUCCUUUGUUUCUCCCGCCGGAUUCGAGCAGACUCCCGAGCUUUUUCUCGCCAUGAAGCCGAAGCAGCCUAGCUCCCUCCUUCCGCACGGCGGCGAGUGCUCUCGCCAUGGUAACAACAUCGGUCGCCCUCUCCUCUUCCCUUCUAGCUAGUUUCAUUAUGUUCGUGAAUUGCUAGUUUCCUCUUCCGAUCGAUCUAUAGUUAAACUCGAUUAUGUCCGUGUCGCUGGUGGGUUUGAGGCGUGUUUGAUCCGAUCGGGUUUUCGGGGAGAAGGUAGCGGUGGGAUCUGGGUGGAUCCGCCGACGGUGGAGGGGGUCGCGGGCACCCGUCCGGCGAGCCAGGGCCCAGGGGUACGUACGCCCCUUAUUUUACUUUGUCUGCUGUGAUUUUGGAUGGGAUAUCACAUAGGAAGAUGAUGGAUUUGGCGUGCAAUUCUUUGCCGGAUGUUCUCACCUCAGCUAGUCGUGUCUGAAUUUUGGGAGCAUUCAUUAUGCAGCUGGUAGUACUAGUAGUCUAGUACCACACCCCUCUGAACAUGUGAAUUUAGGGGUUACUACUAGUACUCCUGUAAUCAUCAACUCUGUUAUUGGUCCCUGAUCUUGUAUGGUAUGAAUUAUCAUAAGUUAGUGGUCUUAUAUAGACAGUAUCUGUGCUCUGUCUGAAAAAGAUAUCAUGUUCAGUGCCUCUCUGACUCUUGUCUUUGGCCUGAAGUUUCUGAAUCUUUAUCAUUUUUUCAACGUUUUUCUUUGAUUAUGUAGCAAUUCCUACCUGCAAUUAUAUGUCAGCAGCACUUUUUUUUUUCUUUGUCUAUCAUGACUGAAUGUUCAUAUACCUUAUUCUUUGUAACAAUGAAAUUUAUAUGACGCUUAGAUUAUUUAUUGCCACUUCUGCUCCUGGAAUAACAUGUUUACACAGCCUUCUAGACGUGAUCAUACUAGCAUUAUACAUAUACUGGAUGUUCUAUUUUAUAGGUGAAGGCAGAGGUAACAACACAACCAAUAUGGAUAACGACAAGAACAUCGAGAUGUGGAAAUUCAAGAAGCUGAUCAAAUGACUAGAUGCUGCCCAUGGAAACGGGACAAGCAUGAUAUCGCUGAUCGUGCCACCCCGUGAUCAGGUAUGUCGAGUCACCAAGCUGUUGGGUGAUGAACAUGGGACCGCCUCAAACAUCAAGAGGAGAGUCAACAGGCAGUCUGUCUUGGCAGCUAUUACCUCUGCCCAGCAAAAGUUGAAGCUGUACAAUCGAGUUCCCACCAAUGGAUUGGUGCUUUACACCGGAACCAUCCUCACCGAUGAGGGGAAAGAAAAGAAGGUCAGCAUUGAUUUUGAGCCAUUCAGGCCAGUUAAUGCGUUCAUGUAUCUCUGUGACAACAAGUUCCACACCGAGGCACUGCAUGAGAUGCUCGAGUCCGAUGAUAAGUUUGGCUUCAUUGUCAUGGACGGUAAUGGAACGCUGUUUGGAACCCUGAGUGGCAACACUAGGGAGGUUCUACACAAGUUCUCUGUUGAUCUCCCAAAGAAGCAUGGCCGAGGAGGGCAGUCAACACUUCGCUUUUCCCGCCUGCGCGUGGAGACCCGGCACAACUAUGUGCGCAGGACGGCUGAGCUUGCUACUAGAUUCUUCAUUGACCCUGCCACUAGCCAGCCAAAUGUUUCUGGUCUCAUUCUAGCUGGUUGCGCUGACCUCAAGACUGAAUUGAGUCAAUCUGACCUGUUUGAUCAGCGCUUGGCAGCCAAGAUACUGAAGGUUGUCACUGUCUCUCAUGGUGGAGAGGAUGGCUUCAACCAGGCCAUUGAGAUAUCUACUGAAGUCCUUUCCAAUGUCAAGUUCAUCCAAGAAAAAAGGUUGAUGGGAAAGUACUUUGAGGAGAUAAGCCAAGACACUGGGAAGUAUGUUUCUGGUGUGGAUGACACCAUGUCUGCCCUUGAAAUGGGUGCAGUUGAAACACUGAUUGUGUGGGAAAAUCUUGAUAUCAAUAGAUACAUCUUGAAGAAUUCUGCUACCGAAGAAACUGUGGUAAAGCACUUCGACGAGGCACAGGAGGCAGAUCAGAGCAACUUCAAAGAUAAGGCGACAUCGGCAGUGUUGGAGGUGGUUGAGAGGACCGUGCUGCUGGAGUGGUUUGCCGAAAACUAUUGGCAGUUUGGUUGUGCGCUGGAGCUCAUCACGAACAAUACGGAGCAAGGAUCUCAGUUCUGUUCGGGCUAUGGUGGGAUAGGAGGGAUCCUCCGCUACCGGGUUGACUUGAACGCUUACAAAGACCCAUCUGAUGAGGAGUAUGAUGAAGGCUUUGAGGAGCAAUCUACUGAAACUCCAGUGAAUUCAGUCCGGGAGGAGCCUGCCGUAGCCUGGAACCAGAACGCUCCGCGACAGGAGGCCGAGGCAUCUACAAGCUCAUCCAGGAAAAAUUAAGGUCUGUACUAAAUUCUAGCAGUUCCUUUCUUAUAAACAUAAACAAAUGAUCAUGUUGUAAUGUUUGAUUCAAUUUUCUUACUGUAGCAAGACGGGAAGACUAAAGAAACGGUGAUAUGAAGCAUGUUGCUGCUGCAUAAGUGAAGUCCUCUCAGCGUGAUUGGGAGGAAUUCUGAUCUCCAUCAGAAGAUUAUCCUAUUUAGUACUGUCAUUAUUAGCAAGAAGAAUCAUAGUUAUAAGUUACUAUUAAGCGUCUCUUGUGUGAUGCUCGAAUUUGUGUGUUAAGUUUGUGGGCUGCUUAUCUGAACCGAAGUUGUGAUGCUACCCUAUAUUUAUUUGACCUUUUUCUCCCUAAAAUCAUUUAUCGAAACAGAAUUCACGAGCUUUGUGAUGUGUGGCUUUGCAUCCGCCAUGCGCCUUAGCCCAAUUUUUGGAUCAUCAUGCCAUUAUUAAGCUACUUGUUUUACAUGGCCAAUGUGGACGACCAUGGCACAAUCGACCAGGUGGCAAGUGACGCCUAGCUUAACAUCUAUGCAAGUAUGACUCGAGACAUGAUCGAAUACAAGAAGAAACAACAUGCUACGCAAGGACCACUAAGUAUUCCCCCCCGCAAAGAAAAAACAGACCACUAAGUAUUCAGUGCUCCCAACACUUCGAUGCUCCCAUACUCCAAUGUUUCUAAAAGUUGAUUUCGUACGUUUCAAAAAAAAUGUAAUUUCUGUUUUAUCCACAAGACAUGUGUCCAUAAUAACCUCUAAAUAAUUCAGAUCCAGGCUCGAAAAACACAUUGAGAAACAAAAAAGACAAAAUCCAGCAUGAAUAGUGUCACAGGAAGACAAAAACUAAAACAAUACUAUUCACAUCAAGAUUUCUCUUUUUUGUUUGUUUCUCAAUUUAUGUUUCAAUUUUGGAUCUGACAUUUUUAGGGGUUGUAGAUACAUGUCCUGUGAACAUCAAUUGUUUUCUUCCAAAUUUUUGAAAUGUUUAAAAUUAAAUUUUGAGACAAUAAAGCAUGGGAGCACCUAAAUGUAGAGAGCGUUGGAUAUUUUCCCAGACCACCAAAUGUAGUUACCAAUUAAUCCAUCGCCGAAACAACGAUCAACAUCGGUUACCUUCUCAGCCUGACUAACUCUAGCCUCACAAGCGGGACAAUGGGCGAUGCUACGCCACUCCGUAGACGUACAUCACUGUCUGAGCCGGCCACUCCUUGUAUGAUGUGCCAGCCGGGAAGUCAUCGUACCUAAGCCCUGGAGGACCAAGGCCCUUGAAGUGAAGUCGUUGCCACCCGACAAAAAAUAGUUCUCAUAGCCGAUGCAACGCCCGAUACAACACUACACCACCACAUGCACAACACCCCUAGGAACUCUGCGACAACGACGAGCGCCACUGCAACAGGGAAGAAGCCAUCUUCUGUCCGCCCGCCCGCAAGAUACGAAAGGACAAUUCUAUGUGGCGCGGAGACUAUUUCUCGCAUUAAGCAGGUGCGCUACGGGGGGUUUCGAACCGUGAUCUCCUAGAUAGAUUGCAACGGGAUUCUGAUCAAUUAAUAGGGCAGGAUGUAGUUGAGGCGAAAUGACCCUGGGUUCCACUUGUUUUCCUUCCGGCAUGUUUCUUUUCGUUUUUCUUCUAUGUUUUUUUGCUUUUCAUUCUUUUUUAUUUGUUUCUUCAAUUUUAUUUUUCAUUUUCUUUUUCUCUUGGUUAUUCUGUUUUCUUUUUUGGGUUUCAUUUUUUAGUUUGUCACCUUUCUUUUGGUUUUCAUUCUAGUUUUUUUUGUGUAUAUACCAACAACAUUUUUUCCUAAUACACGUUUAACAUUUUUCCAAUACAAAAUUAGCAUUCUUCUAAUACAUAGUUAACAUUUCUUCUAUACAUGUUUUUUAGAUUUUUAAAAUGCUUGAUUAACAUGUUUUGAAUACAUGGUCAACAUUUUUCCUAUACACACCAUAUAUUUCAAAUGCAUGAUUAACAUUUCUCAAAUACAAAAUCAAUAUUUUUCUAAUACAUGGUCACCAUUUUUUCCAAGAACAUUUAACAUUUUUCAAAUGCUUUAUCAACAUUUCUCAAAUGCAAGAUUAACAUUUUUUCUAUACACAUUUAACAUUUUCAAAUGCUCGAUUAACAUUUUUGAAAUAAUUUGUUAGAAUUUUUUAUAUGCUUGUAAUAUUUUUAAAUAAAUUAUCAAAAGAUUUCAUAAUUUUUAAAUACAUGUUCAACAUUUUUUCUAUACACAUUCAACUUUGUUUGAACGGUUAAUUAACAUUUUUUAAAUAUUUGUUUAACUUUUUCAAAUGCUUGAUUUACAUAUUGCAAAUACAUGAUCAACUUUUUUUACACAUAUUGUAUAUUUUUUGUAUACAUUUUUCAUAUAUAUGCUCAACAUUUUUUCUAUACACAUUUAAUAUUUUUUGAAUGCAUGAUAAAAAAAUUCAGAACAUUACGAAAAUUAUAUUUUGUAAUAUAUAUGUUUAGAAUUUUUGGAAGUGUAAACAAACCUAUAAAAAGAAAACAAAAGGUCAAAGAAAAAAAAGACAGUGGCCUCGCGCAAGCUGGGCGGGCGCGUAUAGCGUGAGCUGACUCUUCUCGCUUGGAGCGAGACAUAGUCGUGCCCCUGUGAGGAGGGGUGUAUUUUUUUUUUGGUUGAAAGGGGCUAACACUCCUAGAAGCCCAUUAGGCCCAAUUUCACAUCAGACGCUCAAAAUUGCCCCCGGAGCAGCGGCCCGGCAAUAAUACUAUUUGAUUGCAGCAAACACAGUGAACUAAAGCGGGAUUAACACCAAAAUAGAUUUUGGCCGAAAACGCCACAAACUGAUGAUCCGACUGAUGAAAACACUAAUGGCCUGAUAAGGUUGCAAAGUUGUGCAGCUUUAAUGUCUCUAAAUAAAUAAAUGUGAACUUACUUUUUUUUGGUGAGAGAUAAUUGAUAUUCUGUAUACUUAAAUAGUUCAUCCACACUAGGACGGGAACUUGGUGCUCUCGGGUACCCGCUCACCCUAUAUGUGAAAAAAAUAGUAAUUCAAAAAAGUUCAAAAAUUCCAAAUGAUUUUUGGAAUCAAACAGGAUGAGGUAUUGUACUAGUAUAAAAAGUUUGGACAAGAAAUGAUUCCUAUUGACUUCAGGGCAAAAAAACAAGUUUAUGACGACAAUAUAGCGUGUAUAGUACUUGUAUAUAGCGUUUUUUUGCCAAAUCUUCGACCCAAGAUGCAAUGGAAGUCAUUCUUUGACGAAUCUUUUUAUACAACUACAAUAAUUGAUCAUGUUUGAUACAAAAAAGAUUUGGAAUUUUUUGAAUCACUAAUUUAUUUAUUUUUUGCAUAUAGGGUGUGCUGGUACCCAGGUUCUCCUUCGUGUUUUCCAUCCACACUACCUCUAUUAUCUUAACAUGCACACAUACCACUCUAUCAAAGGCCCACCAUGACAUGCAUGAGGAAAAAAAUCAUUAUUAGUUGACCCACGCACACAUCUUAUUUCACCACACAUGCCACCACAUGAAAGGUCCACUAAACAUGCAUGAUUUUUUUCCCAUUAUAUUAUGCCACUUAUAUUCAAAAUAUCUUUGGAGUACACAAUGAUCAAAUAAAAUAUAUAAUAUUUAGUUUUACUUCAUAAAUUAUCAAUUCACUUAUGCAUGUUUCAUACAACCAAAUCACUCAAAUAUAUUGCAAUCGAUUUCCGCAGCAACGCGCUGGGUAUUCUCUAGUUAGAUAGAGUAACUGAACCCACAUGCACAAAAACUAAGGUAAAAACAGGGGGGCUAAGUUAUUGUCAAAGCCAAGACUAAUUUUUCAUCGUUGCACCACUAUGGCCUACGUCAAUAAUAGGCAACAUCUAGAAACCCACCCACGGAGGUACUUGCAAGGAACAGGGUGUGUUUGGUAGCUAUGUAUGGACCUAGCCUAGUUGUUCUCAUCUCAUACAUGCUGAGUGUAGACAUGUUGAGUCCAUGCAUUUGAUGUUGUUUGACAGCGGUGUAUGCACCGAGACAUGCUGAGCUCAGACUUUGUUUGACAGCCUGCAUGUGUUUAGACAUGCCGAACAAUUUCGAAUUCCGAAUAAUUAUUUUAAAUGGUGAACAAAAUUAAAAAACAUGAAAAAAUUAAAAUAUUUUGAAAUUCUAAACUUUUAUUGAGAAUAUAAACAAAAUUUGAAAUUCCAAACAUUUUUUGAAAAUUUAAAUAAAAACUAAAAUUCAGAACAUUUUUUGAAAAUUUAAACAUAUUUUGAAAGACUGGACUUUUUGAAUUUUAUAAAAUAUUGAAUUUUGUUUUUUAAAUUAAACUAAUUUUGAAAUUUAAACGAAAUUUUAAAUUCAAAACAUUUUUUGAAAAUUAAAAAAUUGAAAUUCCGAACAUUUUCUGAAAAUUUAAACGAAUUUUAAAUUCUGAACAUUUUUGAAAAUUUAAACAAAAUUUUAAAUUCUAUAAAAUUUGAAAUGCAGAAUAUUUUUUGAAAAUUUAAACAAUAUUUGAAAUUAUGAACAGUUUUUUUACAAAUGUGAGCCCAUGCACCCUAUCAAACAAACAAAAGUGAGUUGGAUUGGGAACUCUUACCCUCAUGCACCCUACCAAACACCCGUAGAGAAGAGAAAAAGACGAAUAGAGAAACAAAUCUCGUUGAAUCACCAUAUUAGUAGACCAUUGCAUAUGAUAGAGAUUGAGAAUCAACCAAGCAUAUCUAGAUAGGCAUUCGUGCUAGUAUCGCCAUGCCAAACCGAUGACUUUAUUCCCGAAGGCUCGAGGGAAGAGGUUGUUGAAGAAGACGAAGUUGUCGCCGCGGAUGCACAUGGAACCACGUCGAUAGAUGACACAAAUAACAAACCUGUUAUCCUUGACGAAACAAUGUACAAAAACUCCAGAGUUCCUCAACAACGCCUAAUGAAGCAUCACCGGGGCAGGAUUAAAGCCGGAGGACUUUUUAUUCGAUAUGACACCGACAUCACCCUCGAAGCGUUGUCACCUUGACCCACAAUCUACUACCCAAAGGACGAGAAAAGAUGAUCCCAUCCCCUUCACUCAGGAUGCCAGAGUGAGGUCCGACUGAGGAAGAGGAUAUUGUUUGUUUUGGAUGCUAGGGUUUCUUCUUCAUGAUAGGAGGACCUAUGGAAAAUCAAUGACGCGCUCCUUGGAAACAUGGCAAGUGCAGCGCCAGGAGAACGGAAUUUGUUCCCUUCUUCCAAUUUCCAUCCAAGAGGAAAAAACAAAAGAGAAGAAUCUUCAUCAUGGGCCAGGCAAAGCAAGCGGUUGCGCUUCCUCGCGUCGGAUGCACGCGUCAAACAAAAUCAACGAAUAUUCCUCCUCUAAAAGCAAUAAUAAAGAAAGUCCCAACUACAUUCCAAAAGAAACACGCUGACCUUGCCUGCACACCCACCCCCACCACCCGAUCCCAAUCGUGCACCCCCUGCCCCGAUCAUGGGAGACCCUUUAUCCCAAACACCUUAACCGAGACCCCUUAGACGUUACCCAUGCAAUAAUUAGCAGAAAUAACGAUCGUCAUUCAAUAGACAGUUAGUGAUAGCAUUAAAUUAAUCAGCUGUUUGUGUUUCCUAGCUAUGUCCUGUGCUAUAUAAGGCAUGGCCGGUGCAUCAUACCGAGGGUUGUUAAUUUUGCAAUCUCACACACAAGAGCAUAAUCUCACAACAUGAGUAGGGUUUUGUCCCUUAGCGAGGGAAUCCAAAUCGGGUAAAUUUCUCGUGUUUGUUCCCAUCUAUUCCCAUUGCAUGUUCACGAUACCCUCGUAGGUACUGUCAGGUUUAUUCCGAUGACACAUGGUUCAAAAUGACGAAUGAAAAGCUUGUGAUUCGACACAAUUAUCGUAAACUCCUACCUGGGAAUGCUACCAUGUCAGAAACUUGUUUCAACUAUGUCUUGGUUUGAAUAGACGGCCAUCCGACCAGCGUUUUGUUGGGAAACGUAGUAAUUUCAAAAAAAUUCUACGUAUACGCAAGAUCAUGGUGAUGCAUAACGACGAGAGGGGAGAGUGUGAUCUACGUACCUUUGUAGAUCGACAACGGAAGUGUUUGGUUGAUGUAGUCGUACGUCUCCACGGCCCGACCGAUGAAGCACCGAAACUACGGCACCUCCGAGUUCUAGCACACGUUCAGCUCGAUGACGAUCCCCGAACUCCGAUCCAGCAAAGUGUUGGGGAAGAGUUCCGUCAGCGCGACGGCGUGGUGACAAUCUUGAUGUACUACUGUCGCAGGGCUUCGCCUAAGCACCGCUACAAUAUGACCGAGGUGGAAUAUGGUGGAGGGGGGCACCGCACACGGCUAAGGAACGAUCACGAAGAUCAACUUGUGUCUAUGGGGUGCCCCUUGCCUCAGUAUAUAAAGGAUGGAGGAGGAGGAGGCCGGCCAAAGCAAUUGGUGCGGCCAGGAUGUGGAGUCCUACUAGGACUCCAAGUCCUAGUAGGAGUCCACCAAGAGGGGAGGAAGGGAGAAGGAAGUGGAGGAGAAGGAGAGGUGGCCGGCCCCCAUUUUGAAGGAAAUAUGCCCUAGAGGCAAUAAUAAUGUUAUUAUUUAUUUCCUUAUAUCACGAUAAAUGUUUAUUAUUCAUGCUAGAAUUGUAUUAACCGGAAACAUAAUACAUGUGUGAAUACAUAGACAAACAAAGUGUCACUAAUAUGCCUCUACUUGACUAGCUCGUUAAUCAAAGAUGGUUAUGUUUCCUAACCAUGAACAAUGAGUUGUUAUUUGAUUAACGGGAUCAUAUCAUUAAGAGAAUGAUCUGAUUGACAUGACCCAUUCCAUUAGCUUAGCACCCGAUCGUUUAGUAUGUUGCUAUUGCUUUCUUCAUGACUUAUACAUGUUCCUAUAACUAUGAGAUUAUGCAACUCCCGUUUACCGGAGGAACACUUUGGGUACUACCAAACGUCACAACGUAAGUGGGUGAUUAUAAAGGAGUACUACAGGUGUCUCCAAAGGUACAUGUUGGGUUGGCGUAUUUCGAGAUUAGGUUUUGUCACUCCGAUUGUCGGAGCUAUAUGGGCCUUAGUGGGCUUUAGUGGAAAGGAGAAAGGGGCAGCCCAAGGUGGCUGUGCGCCUCCCCCCUUCCCCUAGUCCUAUUAGGACUAGGAGAGGUGGCCGGCCCCCUCUCUCUCUUUCCCCCCUCAAGGAGUCCUAUUCCAACUAGGAUUGGGGGAGGGGGGAAUCCUACUCCCAGAGGGAGUAGGACUCUCCUGGCGCGCCUCCUGUGGCCGGCCAGCCUCCCCCCUCUAAUCCUUUAUAUACUGAGGCAGAGGCACCCCAGAGACACACAAGUUGAUCCAUGUGAUCUAUUCCUUAGCCGUGUGCGGUGCCCCCAGCCACCAUAUUCCUCGAUAAUACUGUAGCGGAGUUUAGGCGAAGCCCUGCUGCUGUAGUGCAUCAAGAUCGUCACCACGCUGUCGUGCUGACGGAACUCUUCCCCGACACUUUGCUGGAUCGGAGUCCGGGGAUCGUCAUCGAGCUGAACGUGUGCUUGAACUCGGAGGUGCCGUAGUUUCGGUGCUUGAUCGGUUGGAUCGUGAAGACGUACGACUACUUCCUCUACGUUGUGUCAACGCUUCCGCAGUCGGUCUGCGAGGGUACGUAGACAACACUCUCCUCUCUCGUUGCUAUGCAUCACAUGAUCUUGCGUGUGCGUAGGAAAACUGUUGAAAUUACUACGAAACCCAACAGUGGCAUCCGAGCCUAGGUUAUUUAUGUUGAUGUUAUAUGCAUGAGUAGAACACAAGUGAGUUGUGGGCGAUAUAAGUCAUACCGCCUACCAGCAUGUCAUACUUUGGUUCGGCGGCAUUGUUGGACGAGACGACCCGGACCAACAUUACGCGUACGCUUACGCGAGACCGGUUCACCCGACGUGCUUUGCACAUAGGUGGCUUGCGGGCGACAGUCUCUCCAACUUUAGUUGAACCAAGUAUGGCUACGCCCGGUCCUUGCGAAGGUUAAAAUGGAGUCUAUUUGACAAACUAUCGUUGUGGUUUUGAUGCGUAGGUGAGAUUGGUUCUUGCUUAAGCCCGUAGCAGCCACGUAAAACUUGAAACAACAAAGUAGAGGACGUCUAACUUGUUUUUGCAGGGCAUGUUGUGAUGUGAUAUGGUCAAGACAUGAUGCUGAAUUUUAUUGUAUGAGAUGAUCAUGUUUUGUAACCGAGUUAUCGGCAACUGGCAGGAGCCUUAUGGUUGUCGUUUUAUUGUAUGCAAUGAAAUCGCGAUGUAAUGCUUUACUUUAUUACUAAGCGGUAGUAAUAGUCGUGGAAGCACAAGCUUGGCGAGACGAUAACGAUGCUACGAUGGAGAUCAAGGUGUCACGCCAGUGACGAUGGUGAUCACGAUGGUGCUUUGGAGAUGGAGAUCACAAGCACAAGAUGAUGAUGGCCAUAUCAUAUCACUUAUAUUGAUUGCAUGUGAUGUUUAUCCUUUUAUGCAUCUUAUCUUGCUUUGAUUGAUGGUAGCAUUAUAAGAUGAUCUCUCACUAAAUUAUCAAGAAGUGUUCUCCCUGAGUAUGCACCGUUGUGAAAGUUCUUCGUGCUGAGACACCACAUGAUGAUCGGGUGUGAUAGGUUCUACGUUCAAAUACAACGGGUGCAAAACAGUUGCACACGCGGAAUACUCAGGUUAUACUUGACGAGACAAGCAUAUACAGAUAUGGCCUUGGAACACGGAGACCGAAAGGUCGAGCGUGAAUCAUAUAGUAGAUAUGAUCAACAUAACGAUGUUCACCAUUGAAAACUACUCCAUCUCACGUGAUGAUCGGUUAUGGUUUAGUUGAUUUGGAUCACGUAAUCACUUAGAGGAUUAGAGGGAUGUCUAUCUAAGUGGGAGUUCUUUAAUUAAUUUGAUUAACUGAACUUAAAUUUAUCAUGAAACUUAGUACCUGAUUAGUAUCUUGCUUGUUUAUGUUUGAUUGUAGAUAGAUGGCUCAUGCUGUUGUUCCGUUGAAUUUUAAUGCGUUCCUUGAGAAAGCAAAAUUGAAAGAUGAUGGUAGCAAUUACACGGACUAGGUCCGUAACUUGAGGAUUAUCCUCAUUGCUGCACAGAAGAAUUACGUCCUGGAAGCACCGCUGGGUGCCAGGCCUGCUACAGGAGCAACGCCGGAUGUUAUGAACGUCUGGCAGAGCAAAGCUGAUGACUACUCGAUAGUUCAGUGUGCCAUGCUUUACGGCUUAGAAUCGGGACUUCAACGAUGUUUUGAACGUCAUGGAGCAUAUGAGAUGUUCCAGGAGUUGAAGUUAAUAUUUCAAGCAAAUGCCCGGAUUGAGAGAUAUGAAGUCUCCAAUAAGUUCUAUAGCUGCAAGAUGGAGGAGAACAGUUCUGUCAAUGAGCAUAUACUCAAAAUGUCUGGGUAUAAUAAUCACUUGAUUCAAUUGGGAGUUAAUCUUCCAGAUGAUUGCGUCAUUGACAGAAUUCUUCAAUCAUUGCCACCAAGCUACAAGAGCUUCGUGAUGAACUAUAAUAUGCAAGGGAUGAACAAGACUAUUCCCGAGCUCUUCGCGAUGCUGAAAGCUGCGGAGGUAGAAAUCAAGAAGGAGCAUCAAGUGUUGAUGGUCAACAAGACCACUAGUUUCAAGAAAAAGGGCAAAGGGAAGAAGAAGGGGAACUUCAAAAAGAAUGACAAGCAAGUUGCUACUCAAGAGAAGAAACCCAAACCUGGACCUAAGCCUCAAACUGAGUGCUUCUAUUGCAAGCAGACUGGUCACUGGAAGCGGAACUGCCCCAAGUAUUUGGCGGAUAAGAAGGAUGGCAAGGUGAACAAAGGUAUAUGUGAUAUACAUGUUAUUGAUGUGUACCUUACUAAUGCUCGCAGUAGCACCUGGGUAUUUGAUACUCGUUCUGUUGCUAAUAUUUGCAACUCGAAACAGGGACUACGGAUUAAGCGAAGAUUGGUUAAGGACGAGGUGACGAUGCACGUGGGAAACGGUUCCAAAGUCGAUGUGAUCGCAGUCGGCACGCUACCUCUACAUCUAUCUUCGGGAUUAGUAUUAGACCUAAAUAAUUGUUAUUUGGUGCCAGCGUUAAGCAUGAACAUUAUAUCUGGAUCUUGUUUGAUGCGAGACGGUUAUUCAUUUAAAUCAGAGAAUAAUGGUUGUUCUAUUUAUAUGAGUAAUAUCUUUUAUGGUCAUGCACCCUUGAAGAGUGGUCUAUUCUUGUUGAAUCUCCAUAGUAGUAACACACAUAUUCAUAAUGUUGAAGCCAAAAGAUGCAGAGUUGAUAAUGAGAGUGCAACUUAUUUGUGGCACUGCCGUUUAGGUCAUAUCGGUGUAAAGCGCAUGAAGAAACUCCAUUCUGAUGGACUUUUGGAACCACUUGAUUAUGAAUCACUUGGUACUUGCGAACCGUGCCUCAUGGGCAAGAUGACCAAAACACCGUUCUCCGGUACUAUGGAGAGAGCAACAGAUUUGUUAGAAAUCAUACAUACAGAUGUAUGUGGUCCAAUGAAUACUGAGGCUCGUGGCGGAUAUCGUUAUUUUCUCACCUUCACAGAUGACUUAAGCAGAUAUGGAUAUAUCUACUUAAUGAAACACAAGUCUGAAACAUUUGAAAAGUUCAAAGAAUUUCAGAGUGAAGUUGAAAAUCAUCGUAACAAGAAAAUAAAGUUUCUACGAUCUGAUCGUGGAGGAGAAUAUUUGAGUUACGAGUUUGGUGUACAUUUGAAAAAUUGUGGAAUAGUUUCGCAACUCACGCCACUCGGAACACCACAGCAUAAUGGUGUGUCCGAACGUCAUAAUCGUACUUUACUAGAUAUGGUGCGAUCUAUGAUGUCUCUUACUGAUUUACCGCUAUCGUUUUGGGGAUACGCUCUAGAGACGGCCGCAUUCACGUUAAAUAGGGCACCAUCAAAAUCCGUUGAGACGACGCCUUAUGAACUGUGGUUUGGCAAGAAACCAAAGUUGUCGUUUUUGAAAGUUUGGGGCUGCAAUGCUUAUGUGAAAAAGCUUCAACCUGGUAAGCUCGAACCCAAAUCAGAGAAAUGUGUCUUCAUAGGAUAUCCAAAGGAAACUAUUGGAUACACCUUCUAUCACAGAUCCGAAGGCAAGACUUUUGUUGCUAAAUUCGGAAACUUUCUAGAGAAGGAGUUUCUCUCGAAAGAAGUGAGUGGGAGGAAAGUAGAACUUGACGAGGUAACUGUACCUGCUCCCUUACUGGAAAGUAGUACAUCACAGAAAACUGUUCCAGUGACACCUACACCAGUUAGUGAGGAAGCUAAUGAUAAUGAUCAUGAAACUUCAGAUCAAGAUACUACUGAACCUCGUAGAUCAACCAGAGUGAGAUCCGCGCAAGAGUGGUACGGUAAUCCUGUUCUGGAAGUCAUGCUACUAGAUCAUGGUGAACCUACGAACUAUGAAGAAGCGAUGGUGAGCCCAGAUUCCGCAAAGUGGCUUGAAGCCAUGAAAUCUGAGAUGGGAUCCAUGUAUGAGAACAAAGUAUGGACUUUGGUUGACUUGCCCAAUGAUCGGCAAGCAAUUGAGAAUAAAUGGAUCUUCAAGAAGAAGACUGACGCUGACGGUAAUAUUACUGUCUACAAAGCUCGACUUGUCGCGAAAGGUUUUCAGCAAGUUCAAGGGAUUGACUACGAUGAGACCUUCUCACCCGUAGCGAUGCUUAAGUCCGUCCGAAUCAUGUUAGCAAUUGCCGCAUUUUAUGAUUAUGAAAUUUGGCAAAUGGAUGUCAAAACUGCAUUCCUGAAUGGAUUUCUGGAAGAAGAGUUGUCUAUGAUGCAACCAGAAGGUUUUGUCGAUCCAAAAGGAGCUAACAAAGUGUGCAAGCUCCAGCGAUCCAUUUAUGGACUGGUGCAAGCCUCUCGGAGUUGGAAUAAACGCUUUGAUAGUGUGAUCAAAGCAUUUGGUUUUAUACAGACUUUCGGAGAAGCCUGUAUUUACAAGAAAGUGAGUGGGAGCUCUGUAGCAUUUCUGAUAUUAUAUGUGGAUGACAUAUUACUAAUUGGAAAUGAUAUAGAAUUUCUGGAUAGCAUAAAGGGAUACUUGAAUAAGAGUUUUUCAAUGAAAGACCUCGGUGAAGCUGCUUACAUAUUAGGCAUUAAGAUCUAUAGAGAUAGAUCAAGACGCUUAAUUGGACUUUCACAAACAACAUACCUUGACAAAAUUUUGAAGAAGUUCAAAAUGGAUCAAGCAAAGAAAGGAUUCUUGCCUGUGUUACAAGGUGUGAAAUUGAGUAAGACUCAAUGCCCGACCACUGCAGAAGAUAGAGAGAAUAUGAAAGAUGUUCCCUAUGCAUCAGCGAUAGGAUCUAUCAUGUAUGCAAUGCUGUGUACCAGACCUGAUGUGUGCCUUGCUAUAAGUCUAGCAGGGAGGUACCAAAGUAAUCCAGGAGUGGAUCACUGGACAGCGGUCAAGAACAUCCUGAAAUACCUGAAAAGGACUAAGGAUAUGUUUCUCGUAUAUGGAGGUGACAAAGAGCUCAUCAUAAAUGGUUACGUUGAUGCAAGCUUUGACACUGAUCCGGACGAUUCAAAAUCGCAAACCGGAUACGUGUUUACAUUAAACGGUGGAGCUGUCAGUUGGUGCAGUUCUAAACAAAGCGUUGUAGCGGGAUCUACAUGUGAAGCGGAGUACAUAGCUGCUUCGGAAGCAGCAAAUGAAGGAGUCUAGAUGAAGGAGUUCAUAUCCGCUCUAGGUGUCAUACCUAGUGCAUCGGGUCCAAUGAAAAUCUUUUGUGACAAUACUGGUGCAAUUGCCUUGGCAAAGGAAUCCAGAUUUCACAAGAGAACCAAGCACAUCAAGAGACACUUCAAUUCCAUCCGGGAUCUAGUCCAGGUGGGAGACAUAGAAAUUUGCAAGAUACAUACGGAUCUGAAUGUUGCAGACCCAUUGACUAAGCCUCUUCCACGAGCAAAACAUGAUCAGCACCAAGGCUCCAUGGGUGUUAGAAUCAUUACGGUGUAAUCUAGAUUAUUGACUCCAGUGCAAGUGGGAGACUGAAGGAAAUAUGCCCUAGAGGCAAUAAGAAAGUUAUUAUUUAUUUCCUUAUAUCAUGAUAAAUGUUUAUUAUUCAUGCUAGAAUUGUAUUAACCAGAAACAUAAUACAUGUGUGAAUACAUAGACAAACAAAGUGUCACUAGUAUGCCUCUACUUGACUAGCUCGUUAAUCAAAGAUGGUUAUGUUUCCUAACCAUGAACAAUGAGUUGUUAUUUGAUCUGAUUGACAUGACCCAUUCCAUUAGCUUAGCACCCGAUCGUUUAGUAUGUUGCUAUUGCUUUCUUCAUGACUUAUACAUGUUCCUAUAACUAUGAGAUUAUGCAACUCCCGUUUACCGGAGGAACACUUUGGGUACUACCAAAUGUCACAACGUAACUGGGUGAUUAUAAAGGAGUACUACAGGUGUCUCCAAAGGUACAUGUUGGGUUGGCGUAUUUCGAGAUUAGGAUUUGUCACUCCGAUUGUCGGAGAGGUAUCUCUGGGCCCUCUCGGUAAUGCACAUCACAUAAGCCUUGCAAGCAUUGCAACUAAUGAGUUAGUUGCGGGAUGAUGUAUUACAGAACGAGUAAAGAGACUUGCUGGUAACGAGAUUGAACUAGGUAUUGGAUACCGACGAUCGAAUCUCGGGCAAGUAACAUACCGAUGACAAAGGGAACAACGUAUGUUGUUAUGCGGUCUGACCGAUAAAGAUCUUCGUAGAAUAUGUAGGAGCCAAUAUGGGCAUCCAGGUCCCGCUAUUGGUUAUUGACCGGAGACGUGUCUCGGUCAUGUCUACAUUGUUCUCGAACCCGUAGGGUCCGCACGCUUAAGGUUACGAUGACAGUUAUAUUAUAAGUUUAUGCAUUUUGAUGUACCGAAGGUUGUUCGGAGUCCCGGAUGUGAUCACGGACACGACGAGGAGUCUCAAAAUGGUCGAGACAUAAAGAUUGAUAUAUUGGAAGCCUAUAUUUGGACAUCGGAAGUGUUCCGGGUGAAAUCGGGAUUUCACCGGAGUACCGGGAGGUUACCAGAACCCCCCGGGAGCUAUAUGGGCCUUAGUGGGCUUUAGUGGAAAGGAGAAAGGGGCAGCCCAAGGUGGCUGUGUGCCUCCCCCCUUCCCCUAGUCCUAUUAGGACUAGGAGAGGUGGCCGCCCCCCUCUCUCUCUUUCCCCCCUCAAGGAGUCCUAUUCCAACUAGGAUUGGGGGGGGGGAAUCCUACUCCCAGAGGGAGUAGGACUCUCCUGGAGCGCCUCCUGUGGCCGGCCAUCCUCCCNNNNNNNNNNNNNNNNNNNNNNNNNNNNNNNNNNNNNNNNNNNNNNNNNNNNNNNNNNNNNNNNNNNNNNNNNNNNNNNNNNNNNNNNNNNNNNNNNNNNNNNNNNNNNNNNNNNNNNNNNNNNNNNNNNNNNNNNNNNNNNNNNNNNNNNNNNNNNNNNNNNNNNNNNNNNNNNNNNNNNNNNNNNNNNNNNNNNNNNNNNNNNNNNNNNNNNNNNNNNNNNNNNNNNNNNNNNNNNNNNNNNNNNNNNNNNNNNNNNNNNNNAGGAGAGGUGGCCGCCCCCCUCUCUCUCUUUCCCCCCUCAAGGAGUCCUAUUCCAACUAGGAUUGGGGGGGGGGGAAUCCUACUCCCAGAGGGAGUAGGACUCUCCUGGAGCGCCUCCUGUGGCCGGCCAUCCUCCCCCCUCUAAUCCUUUAUAUACUGAGGCAGAGGCACCCCAGAGACACACAAGUUGAUCCACGUGAUCUAUUCCUUAGCCGUGUGCGGUGCCCCCAGCCACCAUAUUCCUCGAUAAUACUGUAGCGGAGUUUAGGCGUAGCCCUGCUGCUGUAGUGCAUCAAGAUCGUCACCACGCCGUCGUGCUGACGGAACUCUUCCCCGACACUUUGCUGGAUCGGAGUCCGAGGAUCGUCAUCGAGCUGAACGUGUGCUCGAACUCGGAGGUACCGUAGUUUCGGUGCUUGAUCGGUUGGAUCGUGAAGACGUACGACUACUUCCUCUACGUUGUGUCAACGCUUCCGCAGUCGGUCUGCGAGGGUACGUAGACAACACUCUCCCCUCUCGUUGCUAUGCAUCACAUGAUCUUGCGUGUGCGUAGGAAAAUUGUUGAAAUUACUACGAAACCCAACACUUUUCCCUAGUCCAAUUCGGACCAGAGGGGAGGGGGGGGGCGCAGCAGCCCCUUGGCCCUUUCUCCUCUUCCCACUAAAGCCCAUCAAGGCCCAUUGCUUCUCCCGUAACUACCCGGUACUCCGAAAAAUACCCGAAUCACUCGGAACCUUUCCGAUGUCCGAAUAUAGUCGUCCAAUAUAUCGAUCUUUACGUAUCGACCAUUUCGAGACUCCUCGUCAUGUCCCCGAUCUCAUCCGGGACUCCGAACUCCUUCGGUACAUAAAAACUCAUAAACUCAUAAUAUAACUGUCAUCGAAAUCUUAAGCGUGCGGACCCUACGGGUUCGAGAACAAUGUAGACAUGACCGAGACACGUCUCCGGUCAAUAACCAAUAGUGGGACCUUGAUGCCCAUAUUGGCUCCUACAUAUUCUACGAAGAUCUUUAUCGGUCAGACCGCAUAACAACAUACGUUGUUCCCUUUGUCAUCGGUAUGUUACUUGCCCGAGAUUCGAUCGUCGGUAUCCAAUACCUAGUUCAAUCUCGUUACCGGCAAGUCUCUUUACUCGUUCUGUAAUACAUCAUCCCACAACUAACUCAUUAGUUGCAAUGCUUGCAAGGCUUAUGUGAUGUGCAUUACCGAGAGGGCCCAGAGAUACCUCUCCGACAAUCGGAGUGACAAAUCCUAAUCUCGAAAUACGCCAACCCAACAUGUACCUUUGGAGACACCUGUAGAGCUCGUUUAUAAUCACCCAGUUACGUUGUGACGUUUGGUAGCACACAAAGUGUUCCUCCGGCAAACGGGAGUUGCAUAAUCUCAUAGUCAUAGGAACAUGUAUAAGUCAUGAAGAAAGUAAUAGCAACAUACUAAACGAUCGGGUGCUAAGCUAAUGAAAUGGGUCAUGUCAAUCAGAUCAUUCAACUAAUGAUGUGAUCCCGUUAAUCAAAUAACAACUCUUUGUCCAUGGUUAGGAAACAUAACCAUCUUUGAUUAACGAGCUAGUCAAGUAGAGGCAUACUAGUGACACUCUGUUUGUCUAUGUAUUCACACAUGUAUUAUGUUUCCGGUUAAUACAAUUCUAGUAUGAAUAAUAAACAUUUAUCAUGAUAUAAGGAAAUAAAUAAUAACUUUAUUAUUGCCUCGAGGGCAUAUUUCCUUCAGUCUCCCACUUGCACUAGAGUCAAUAAUCUAGAUCACAUCGCCAUGUGAUUUAACAUCAAUAGUUCACAUUUUUAUGUGAUUGGUUCACAUCUCCAUGUGACUAACACCCAAAGGGUUUACUAGAUUCAAUAAUCUAGUUCACAUCACUAUGUGAUUAAGACCCAAAAAGUGAUCAUGUUUUGCUUGUGAGAGAAGUUUAGUCAACGGGUCUGCCACAUUCAGAUCCACAUGUAUUUUGCAAAUUUCUAUGUCAACAAUGCUCUGCAUGGAGCUACUCUAGCUAAUUGCUCCCACUUUUAAUAUGUAUCUAGAUUGAGACUUAGAGUCAUCUGGAUCAGUGUCAGAGCUUGCAUCGACAUAACCCUUUACGACGAACCUUUUGUCACCUCCGUAAUCGAGAAACAUAUCCUUAUUCCAGUAAGGAUAAUUUUGACCGUUGUCCAUUGAUCUACUCUUAGAUCACUAUUGUACUCCCUCUCUUAACACAGUGUAUGGUAUACAAUAGAUCUGGUACACAGCAUGGCAUACUUUAUAGAACCUAUGACUGAGGCAUAGGGAAUGACUUUCAUUCUCUUUCUAUCUUCUGCCGUGGUCGGGCUUUGAGUCUUACUCAACUUCACACCUUGUAACACAGGCAAUAAACUUUUUCUUUGACUGUUCCAUUUUGAACUACUUCAAAAUCUUGUCAAGGUAUGUACUCAUUGAAAAACUUAUCAAGCGUCUUGAUCUAUCCCUAUAGAUCUUGAUACUCAAUAUGUAAGCAGCUUUAUCAAGGUCUUUCUUUGAAAAACUCCUUUCAAACACUCCUUUAUGCUUUGCAGAAUAAUUCUACAUUAUUUCCGAUCAACAAUAUGUCAUUCACAUAUACUUAUCAGAAAUGCUGUAGUGCUCCCACUCACUUUCUUGUAAAUACAGGCUUCACCGCAAGUCUGUAUAAAACUAUAUGCUUUGAUCAACUUAUCAAAGCGUAUAUUCCAACUCUGAGAUGCUUACACCAGUCCAUAGAUGGAUCGCUGGAGUUUGCACAUUUUGUUAACACCUUUAGGAUUGACAAAAACUUCUGGUUGCAUCAUAUACAACUCUUCUUUAAGAAAUCCAUUAAGGAUUGCAGUUUUGUUAUCCAUUUGCCAGAUUUCAUAAAAUGCGGCAAUUGCUAAUAUGAUUCGGACAGAUUUAAGCAUAGAUACGAGUGAGAAACUCUCAUCGUAGUCAACACCUUAAACUUGUCGAAAACCUUUUGCGACAAUUCUAGCUUUGUAGAUAGUAACACUACUAUCGGCGUCCGUCUUCCUCUUGAAGAUCCAUUUAUUUUCUAUGGCUUGCCGAUCAUCGGGCAAAUCCAUCAAAGUCCAUAUUUUGUUCUCAUACAUGGAUCAUAUCUCAGAUUUCAUGGCCUCAAACCAUUUCGCGGAAUCUGGGCUCAUCAUCGCUUCCUCAUAGUUCGCAAGUUCGUCAUGGUCUAGUAACAUGACUUCCAGAACAGGAUUACCGUACCACUCUGGUGCGGAUCUCACUCUGGUUUACCUACGAGAUUUGGUAGUAACUUGAUCUGAAGUUACAUGAUCAUCAUCAUUAGCUUCCUCACUAAUUGGUGUAGUAGUCACAGGAACAGAUUUCUGUGAUGAACUACUUUCCAAUAAGGGAGCAGGUACAGUUACCUCAUCAAGUUCUACUUUCCUCCCACUCACUUCUUUCGAGAGAAACUCCUUCUCUAGAAAAACUCCGAAUUUAGCAACAAAAGUCUUGCCUUCGGAUUUGUGAUAGAAGGUGUACCCAACAGUCUCCUUUGGGUAUCCUAUGAAGAUAUAUUUCUCCGAUUUGGGUUUGAGCUUAUUAGGAUGAAACUUUUUCAUAUAAGCAUCACAACCCCAAACUUUAAUAAAUGACAACUUUGGUUUCUUGCCAAACCACAGUUCAGAUUGUGUCGUCUCAACGAACUUAGAUGGUGCCCUUUUAAACGUGAAUGUAGCUGUCUUUAAUGCAUAACCCCAAAAUGAUAGUGGUAGAUCGGUAAGAGACAUCAUAGAUCGCACCAUAUCUAAUAAAGUACGGUUAUGAUGUUCGGACACACCAUUAUGCUGUGGUGUUCCAGGUGGCGUGAGUAGUGAAACUAUUUCACAUUGUUUUAACUGAAGACCAAACUCGUAACUCAAAUAUUUGUCUCCGCGAUCAGAUCGUAGAAACUUUAUUUUCUUGUCACAAUGAUUUUCCACUUCACUCUGAAAUUCUUUUCAAAUGUUUCAGACUUAUGUUUCAUCAAGUAGAUAUACCCAUAUCUGCUCAAAUCAUCUGUGAAGUUCAGAAAAUAACGAUACUUGCCGUGAGCCUUAACACUCAUCGGACCGCAUAUAUCAGUAUGUAUUAUUUCCAAUAAGUCAGUUGCUCGCUCCGGAGAAUGGAGUCUUAGUCAUCUUGCCCAUGAGGCAUGGUUCGCAAGCAUCAAGUGAUUCAUAAUCAAGUGAUUCCAAAAUCCCAUCAGCAUGGAGUUUCUUCAUGCGCUUUACACCAAUAUGACCUAAACAGCAGUGCUACAAAUAAGUUGCACUAUCAUUAUUAACUUUGCAUCUUUUGGUUUCAAUAUUAUGAUUAUGUGUAUCACUACGAUCGAGAUCCAAUGAAUUAUUUUCAUUGGGUGUGUAACCAUAUAAGGUUUUAUUCAUGUAAACAGAACAACAAUUUAUUCUCUUACUUAAAUGAAUAACCGUAUUACAAUAAACAUGAUCAAAUCAUAUUCAUGCUUAACGCAAAUACCAAAUAACACUUAUUCAGGUUCAACACUAAUCCCGAAGGUAUAGGGAGUGUGCGAUGAUGAUCAUAUCAAUCUUGGAACCACUUCCAACACACAUCGUCACUUCACCCUUAACUAGUCUCUGUUUAUUCUGCAACUCUCGUUUCGAGUUACUAAUCUUAGCAACUGAACUAGUAUCAAAUACUGAGGGGUUGCUAUAAACACUAGUAAAGUACACGUCAAUAACAUGUAUAUCAAAUAUACUUAUGUUCACUUUGCCAUCCUUCUUAUCUGCCAAUCACUUGGGGUAGUUCCGCUUUCAGUGACCAGUCCCUUUGCAGUAGAAACACUUAGUCUCAGGCUUAGGACCAGACUUGGGCUUCUUCACUUGAGCAGCAACUUGCUUGCUGUUUUUCUUGAAGUUCCCCUUCUUCCCUCUGCCCUUUUUUUGAAACCAGUGGUCUUGUCUACCAUCAACACUUGAUGUUUUUCUCGAUUUCUACCUUCGUUAAUUUCCGCAUUACGAAGAACUUGGGAAUCGUUUCCGUUAUCCCUUGCAUAUCAUAGUUCAUCACGAAGUUCUACUAACUUGGUGAUGGUGACUAGAGAAUUUUGUCAAUCACUAUCUUAUGUGGAAGAUUAACUCCCACUUGAUUCAAGCGAUUGUAGUACUCAGACAAUCUGGGCACAUGCUCACUAGUUGAGCGAUUCUCCUCCAUCUUUUGGCUGUAGAACUUGUUGGAGACUUCAUAUCUCCCAACUCGGGUAUUUGCUUGAAAUAUUAACUUCAACUCCUGGAACAUCUCAUAUGCUCCAUGACGUUCAAAACGUCUUUGAAGUCCCGAUUCUAAGCCAUUAAGCAUGGUGCACUAAACUAUCAUGUAGUCAUCAUAUUUAGCUAGCCAAACGUUCAUAACGUCUGCAUCUGCUCCUGCAAUAGGUCAGUCACCUAGCGGUGCAUCAAGGACAUAAUUCUUCUAUGCAGCAAUGAGGAUAAACCUCAGAUCACGGAUCCAAUCCGCAUCCUUGCUACUAACAUCUUUCAACACAAUUUUCUCUAGGAACAUAUCAAAAUAAACACAAGGAAGCAACAACGCGAGCUAUUGAUCUACAACAUAAUUUGCAAAAUACUACCAGGACUAAGUUCAUGAUAAAUUUAAGUUCAAUUAAUCAUAUUACUUAAGAACUCCCACUUAGAUAGACAUCCCUCUAAUCCUCUAAGUGAUCACGUGAUCCAAAUCAACUAAACCAUGUCCGAUCAUCACGUGAGAUGGAGUAGUUUCAUUGGUGAACAUCACUAUGUUGAUCAUAUCUACUAUAUGAUUCACGCUCGACCUUUCGGUCUCCGUGUUCCGAGGCCAUAUCUGUAUAUGCUUGGCUCGUCAAGUAUAACCUGAGUAUUUCGCGUGUGCAACUGUUUUGCACCCGUUGUAUUUGAAUGUAGAGCCUAUCACACCCGAUCAUCACGUGGUGUCUCAGCACGAAGAACUUUCGCAACGGUGCAUACUCAGGGAGAACACUUCUUGAUAAUUAGUGAGAGACCAUCUUAAAAUGCUACCGUCAAACUAAGCAAAAUAAGAUGUAUAAAAGAUAAACAUCAUAUGCAAUCAAAAUAUGUGACAUGAUAUGGCCAUCAUCAUCUUGCGCCUUUGAUCUCCAUCUCCAAAGUACUGUCAUGAUCUCUAUCGUCACCGGCAUGACACCAUGAUCUCCAUCAUCUUGAUCUAUAUCAAUGUGUCGUCACACGGUCGUCUCGCCAACUAUUGCUCUUGCAACUAUUGCUAUCGCAUAGCGAUAAAGUAAAGCAAUUAUUUGGCGCUUGCAUCUUAUGCAAUAAAGAGACAACCAUAAGGCUUUUGCCAGUUGCCGAUAACUUUAACAAAACAUGAUCAUCUCAUACAACAACUUAUAUCUCAUCACGUUUUGACCAUAUCACAUCACAACAUGCCUUGCAAAAACAAGUUAGACGUCCUCUACUUUGUUGUUGCAAGUUUUACGUGGCUGCUACGGGCUUAAGCAAGAACCAAUCUUACCUACGCAUCAAAACCACAACGAUAGUUUGUCAAGUUGGUGAUGUUUUAACCUUCUCAAGGACCGGGCGUAGCCACACUCGGUUCAACUAAAGUUGGAGAAACUGUCACCCGCUAGCCACCUUUGUGCAAAGCACGUCGGGAGAACCGGUCUCGCGUAAGCGUACGCGUAAUGUCGGUCCGGGCCGCUUCGUCCAACAAUACAGCCGAACCAAAGUAUGACAUGCUGGUAAGCAGUAUGACUUAUAUCACCCACAACUCACUUGUGUUCUACUCGUGCAUAUAACAUCAACACAUAAAACCUAGGCUCUGAUGCCACUGUUGGGGAACGUAGUAAUUUCAAAAUUUUCCUACGCAUACGCAAGAUCAUGGUGAUGCAUAGCGACGAGAGGGGAGAGUGUGAUCUACGUACCCUUGUAGAUCGACAACGGAAGCGUUUGGUUGAUGUAGUCGUACGUCUCCACGGCCCAACCGAUCAAGCACCGAAACUACGGCACCUCCGAGUUCUAGCACACGUUUAGCUCGAUGACGAUCCCCGGACUCCGAUCCAACAAAGUGUCGGGGAAGAGUUCCGUCAGCGCGACGGCGUGGUGACAAUCUUGAUGUACUACUAUCGCAGGGCUUCGCCUAAGCACCGCUACAAUAUGACCGAGGUGGAAUAUGGUGGAGGGGGGCACCGCACACGGCUAAGGAACGAUCACGAAGAUCAACUUGUGUCUAUGGGGUGCCCCUUGCCUCAGUAUAUAAAGGAUGGAGGAGGAGGAGGCCGGCCAAAGCAAUUGGUGCGGCCAGGAUGUGGAGUCCUACUAGGACUCCAAGUCCUAGUAGGAGUCCACCAAAAGGGGAGGAAGGGAGAAGGAAGUGGAGGAGAAGGAGAGGUGGCCGGCCCCCUUUUCCCUAGUCCAAUUUGGACCAGAGGGGAGGGGGGGCGCAGCAGCCCCUUGGCCCUUUCUCCUCUUCCCACUAAAGCCCAUCAAGGCCCAUUGCUUCUCCCGUAACUAUCCGGUACUCCGAAAAAUACCCGAAUCACUCGGAACCUUUCCGAUGUCCGAAUAUAGUCGUCCAAUAUAUCGAUCUUUACGUCUCGACCAUUUCGAGACUCCUCGUCAUGUCCCCGAUCUCAUCCGGGACUCCGAACUCCUUCGGUACAUCAAAACUCACAAACUCAUAAUAUAACUGUCAUCGAAACCUUAAGCGUGCGGACCCUACGGGUUCGAGAACAAUGUAGACAUGACCGAGACACGUCUCCGGUCAAUAACCAAUAGCGGGACCUGGAUGCCCAUAUUAGCUCCUACAUAUUCUACGAAGAUCUUUAUCGGUCAGACCGCAUAACAACAUACGUUGUUCCCUUUGUCAUCGGUAUGUUACUUGCCCGAGAUUCGAUCGUCGGUAUCCAAUACCUAGUUCAAUCUCGUUGCCGGCAAGUCUCUUUACUCGUUCUGUAAUACAUCAUCCCACAACUAACUCAUUAGUUGCAAUGCUUGCAAGGCUUAAGUGAUGUGCAUUACCGAGAGGGCCCAGAGAUACCUCUCCGACAAUCGGAGUGACAAAUCCUAAUCUCGAAAUACGCCAACCCAACAUGUACCUUUAGAGACACCUGUAGAGCUCCUUUAUAAUCACCCAGUUACGUUGUGACGUUUGGUAGUACCCAAAGUGUUUCUCCGGCAAACGGGAGUUGCAUAAUCUCAUAGUCAUAGGAACAUGUAUAAGUCAUGAAGAAAGCAAUAGCAACAUACUAAACGAUCGGGUGCUAAGCUAAUGGAAUGAGUCAUGUCAAUCAGAUCAUUCAACUAAUGAUGUGAUCCCGUUAAUCAAAUAACAACUCUUUGUCCAUGGUUAGGAAACAUAACCAUCUUUGAUUAACGAGCUAGUCAAGUAGAGGCAUACUAGUGACACUCUGUUUGUCUAUGUAUUCACACAUGUAUUAUGUUUCCGGUUAAUACAAUUCUAGCAUGAAUAAUAAACAUUUAUCAUGAUAUAAGGAAAUAAAUAAUAACUUUAUUAUUGCCUCUAGGGCAUAUUUCCUUCACGUUUACCUCCUCCCAAGAAGCGACUACCAAGCGACUAGGGCUUCCCCUCCUCCCAUCGACGCCACCGUCGGUCCACGUGGCUUCUGUGUGUGAAUAGACGACCAUCCAAACAACGUUUACCUCUUUCCAAGAAGCGACUACCAGGCGCCUAGGGUUUCCCUCCCCCCGUCGACGCCGCCAUCGGUCCUCCCCGCCUCUGAUGGCCUUUGGGCCAUGAAGGUGCGAAGGACCCUCGGCCCCUCGGCGGGAGGUAUACCAUCUCGUUCUUGGUUGGUUCAGUGUCUCGACUUGGGUUGUGUGGCGGCAGCGAUGUCCCCUAACAGGAGUAAUGUCACCCACAUCCGAUCCCCGUCUCGAUGGUGCAUCUAGCGUCGCUGGUGGGCGUGUGCCUCCGUUGAAUCUCGCGGGUUUCGGCCUGUUCUGGUAUUCGACGGAUCUGUUAGGAUCUAGUCUUACUUCGGCUUUGGUCGUUUGUCCACAACUUUGAACCUUUCGUUCUACGAUUCACCUCAUCGGUGACGGGUGUUGCUCCGGUGCGCCAGUCACGUGGGGUCUUGCCAUGAUGACUCCCCAACUGUCUACUACGGCAGGGUUUACCCGGUUUUGGCUAGACAGGGGCGAUGAUGAUGAUGCCCGUGCGCCUUUGUCCUGCUCUAGGGGCUGUAGUCGUCGUCGUCGUCGCUAGCUAGUCCAUGAACCUAGAUGUACUUUUUUGUUACUUUUGGUGUCCUUUGUAUUGUUUUCCGGAUCAUGAAUAGUUGGGAGGUUUCUCCGAAGAAAAAAACAUUUGCCGUUAUCGAAAAAAAGAAACUUUUUUCCCUUUUUGCAAUCAUACCAAGUAGGAGCGGUGGAAAAUCAACUUGGCAAGCACGGCGCCAGGAGAAGAGAAUUUGUUCCCGUUUCCAUCCAGUCCGAGAGAAAACAAAACAAAGGAGAAGCGUCGUUUCCUCGCGGGUCAAGCAAAAGCAAAAGCACGGCGCGUGGGACGCACGCGUCAACCCAAAAUCAACCAAUAUUCCUCCAGAAGCGCCCAGACCCGGCCCCUCUGCGCGCCCCGCCGUCCGAUCCCGAUCGCGCGGCCCCCGCGCCCCGAGCGGGCGGGCCCGGGCCGCGGAGUCCGUCCGGGGCCAGGCAGCCGAUCCGAGGUUGGGUUCUUCCCUGGACUCCACACGACCCCCCACGCAUAAAAGCCGCCCGCCCCCCGAUUUUUCCUCCUUCACCGCCGCACCCAGAUUCUUCGAGCCAAACCCUAGCGCCGCCCCCCUCCCCCUCCUGCCGCCGGCCGCCGACCGAGGUAACGAACCACGCCCGCCUCCCUCUCUCGAUCAACCGUAUGCACGUACCUAUUUAUUCGUUCGCGAGCCGCCGCCGGCGAGUUUCCUGGCCCGUGCCGGCUCGAUUAUUCCCGUCCGUGCGUGCCAUCGUCGCGCCGUUUGUUGGCCUCGGGAGUGCUCGAUCUGACCCCGCGGCGCCCUCCCCUGUUUUUCUGUUUUUGUUUUUUUGUUUGGGGAAUUGGUGUCGGGGAGGAUUUUUGGUAUAGAUGGGCGCGUUGCUCUGGUCGAGGUCGAUUUAGUGGCGACGAUUGGAUUGGCUGCGAUUUGCCCGCGGAAAUUUGUCGGGUAGAGAUUCAGAGGCGUCGAAGAUGACGGAUUUGGCUGUGCGACUGUUUGUGAGUUUUUUUUUCCGACUCAUGUUUGAAUUUUCAGCUUUGGGCGUGCUCGUUGUGCGGCUGGUGGUAUCACCCACUCUGAACGUCGUGUGCAUUUUGUUGUUAUAUACUACUGUUGGUUAUGCAUUUGAGUGCUGGGUCUGUAGGGUGAUAGGGCCAUCAACUCUGUUCCACUGUUUUAACUGGUUGAGCAGGCAUCCGUUCUGUCCACAAAGCCUCGGGUGCCCGCUCCCCUGUUUCAUGUUGUUGGUAGAAUAGAUGGAUGAAUGCUUCGCUUUGGUCGAGGUUGAUUUCACAGGGAGUAAAUAGAUUAUUUAAUUUUUCAAUGGGAACAUGGAAGAUGAUGGAUUUGCUGUUCGAUUGUUUGAAAGACCUUUUUGCAUUAUUAUGCAGCUGGUAGUAUCAGUCAUCUCAACGUGUAUAUUUAGAUAGUUUUGUUUUGCACUUGAUUGCUGGGUCCCUAGGAUCCUCAACUAUGGUACAUGGUUUAACUGGUUCUGCAUUUGUUGUUUUGUGCGUACAUGCGUAUAACCGUAAAUCCAAGUGUACUUGCUGUCUUUUACAUGCUUAUUUCAGUUUGUGGUUGUUUGUCCUAAAAUAUGCCAGGCUCUGUCUAUUUUUUUGUAUACAUCCUCACCACUGAUAUAUCUGUGCCAUGUCCUAUUGAAGAAGAUUCCCUAUUUAGUGCCAUUGGAACCGUUGUCUUUGUUUGGCCUGAAGAUUUUUUAUUCUUUAAUUAAUCAAUUUUGCCAUGAUUCUCUUUGAUUAUGCAUGUGUACACCAUUAUAAAUACUUGCAGCAAUUCCUAUCUGCCAUUGUAUGUCCAUUAACCUGUUCAGCAUUUGUUUGUGUCAUUUACUUUCAUGACUGCAAGAACGAAAGUUACAUUUCUCAUUUAUAUGAUGCUUUGAUGUAUUCCUACUUCUGUUCCUUCAAUAAUAUGUUAUUCAGCUUUCUCGACAGCUACUAUUAGCAUUUUUUAUACUUACUCUGGAUGUUCUAUCUUGUAGGUGAAGGCAGAGGUGGGAACACAACCAAGAUGGCGGACGGUCAUGAUAACGACAAGAACAUUGAGAUCUGGAAAGUUAAGAAGCUGAUUAAAGGGCUUGAUGCUGCCCGUGGAAAUGGGACAAGCAUGAUAUCGCUGAUCAUGCCACCUCGUGAUCAGGUCUCAAGAGUAACCAAGAUGUUGGGUGAUGAAUAUGGAACUGCCUCAAACAUCAAGAGCAGGGUCAACAGGCAGUCUGUCUUGGCUGCUAUUACCUCUGCUCAGCAAAGGUUGAAGCUGUACAAUCGAGUUCCACCCAAUGGAUUAGUACUUUAUACUGGAACCAUCGUGACUGAUGAGGGCAAAGAGAAGAAAGUCACCUUUGACUUUGAGCCAUUCAGGCCAAUUAAUGCUUCCCUGUAUCUCUGUGACAACAAGUUCCACACUGAGGCAUUGAAUGAGCUGCUUGAGUCUGAUGAUAAGUUUGGCUUCAUUGUCAUGGAUGGUAACGGAACACUUUUUGGAACACUGAGUGGCAACACUAGAGAGGUUCUUCACAAGUUCUCUGUUGAUCUCCCAAAGAAGCAUGGACGAGGAGGCCAGUCAGCACUUCGCUUUGCCCGUCUGCGCAUGGAGAAACGCCACAACUAUGUGCGCAAGACAGCUGAGCUUGCUACACAAUUCUUCAUCAACCCUGCCACCAGUCAGCCAAAUGUUUCUGGGCUCAUUCUAGCUGGUUCUGCUGACUUCAAGACUGAACUGAGUCAGUCUGACAUGUUUGAUCAGCGCUUGGCAACCAAGAUACUCAAGGUGGUUGAUGUUUCUUAUGGCGGAGAGAAUGGCUUCAACCAGGCCAUUGAGAUAUCUGCUGAAGUCCUUUCCAAUGUCAAGUUCAUCCAAGAAAAGAAGCUGAUUGGGAAGUACUUUGAGGAGAUAAGUCAAGACACUGGAAAGUAUGUUUUUGGUGUGGAUGACACCAUGGCUGCCCUUGAAAUGGGUGCCGUUGAGACACUGAUUGUGUGGGAAAAUCUUGACAUCAACCGGUACGUCCUGAAGAAUUCUGCCACUGGAGAAACUUCUAUGAAGCACUUCAACAAGGCACAGGAGGCAGAUCAGAGCAACUUCAAAGAUAAGGCAACAUCUGCAGACCUGGAGGUGGUUGAGAAUACCUCGCUACUGGAGUGGUUUGCCGAAAACUAUCGGCAGUUUGGUUGCACAUUGGAGUUCAUCACGAACAAGUCGCAGGAAGGAUCUCAGUUCUGCAGGGGCUUUGGUGGGAUAGGAGGCAUUCUUCGCUACCAGGUUGAGGUGAACGCUUACGAGGACGUGUCUGACGAGGAGUAUGAUGAAGACUUUGAAUAGCAAUCAAUUGAAACUCCAGUGAAUCCGGUCCGGGAGGAGCCUGUGCUGGCCCGGAACCGGAACACGCCACGGCAGGAGGCCGAGGCAUCCACAAGCUCAUCGAGGAAAAGAACUUAAGGUUUGUACCGAAUCGUGCCAGCUACUCUUGUGCUCUUAUAUACAAAGGAAGGCCUUUAAUUGUGUUCCCUUUGCUAAUGUUUGAUCCGAUGUUGUUACUUUAGGGGGAUGAAGAGUAAGACUUGAGAACAGGGGUGAUCACCGUUACUGUGUGAUGAAGCAUGAAGUCUUGUCGGCGUGAUAUGGAGGAAGGCUGCAUUUCUGAUUUCUAUCGGAAGACUGCCCUAUUUAGCACCAUCUUUAUUAUUUAAGAAUAAAUCAUAGCUAUAAGCUAUUGUUUGUGUCAUUGAUGUGAGUCUUGAACUAGUCUGUUAAGUUUGUGGGUCAUUGUUUGCUGCAGCAGCAGCUAUCCUUUAUUUCUCUGAACCAAAGUUGUGAUGCUAUCAGUACAUUUGGACGUGCUAUUUGGUAGACACAGCUAUGUCUAUGUGUCAUUAUAUUUGAGAUAAAUCUGUGUGCUAUGUACUCUUCUUCAUGUAUGGUUGCUCAGGCGAGUGAAACGGGUGAGUGUUUCAC
rnacentral:lncRNA from 1 species